CUCUCGGUGACUAAAUAAGUGGUUCGAUAGUCGCCAUACAUUUGUCAGCAAAACUGUGACACACACAGCCACAUGGAUUGGAGCCACGAAAGGACCCGACAUGUCACAAAUGGACGCGUGGAGCAACAAAGGAAUGCAUGAUAUGCAAACAAUGUAAGGAGGAUGCGCACUAACAAACAGACAACAAGGACGGACUGAAAGGAUAGGCGGUAUGAUGGCAGAUAAGGAUGCAGUCAGGGUUCAUGCAGGAGACCAAAGGGAGGAGAGUGCAAGUUCAGUCUCACUCCCUACUCGUCAAAUGUGUGACGCAUGGCCAAGGAUCCCUGGCGUCAAUUUCCAACGAAAAAUGUGUCCCUUCAUCAUUUAUUUUAAAACUUCAGCUUCGUUACAAAGUAAAAACAAAGGCACUUUUAAGAGCCACGUUUGUCUAGUUAAUUGUUGUCAAUCUCUCAGGUUCCCUGUGGUUCUUUCUCUUUCGCUCUUCCCCCCCCCUUCCCCUACCCCCACCCCUUCCCCUACCCCUUUAUUGGUGUUUUGUCAUUGUGUUGUCUUGUGUGCCUUGUUCAUCAUGAGUGACAGCUCCAAUGUCGAGCAGCUCGUUAAGGAGCUUGAUGAGCUUGUUGAUCAUUCUAAAUUAAAUGAUGAACUCCAGACCUUGGAAGGUUUCAUCAAUAAGAUGGAGGUAGAACGGGAGGCAGCACUAUCCACCAGCCAUCAACCGGUCCAGGAGGCCCCACCAUCCACCAGCCAUCAACCUGUCAUGUAGCUGAAGAGGGACAGUGAUGGAAAUGUUGUCCAUGACAGACCAAGAUCUUGCCGAAACCAAUUUGCUAGUCACAGCUACAGUCGCAAGACUGGUGCUCAUACUACAAUGUUGGACAGCAGCGUUGAGAGAACCAACUACUGUCCUCCUGACACUGUUGUCUUUCCUUGAAGAGCUAAACCACUCACAGGGUGAUGACAUGGAUGAUCAGGAAACAGCACCAGCACCACCACGAGCUUCCUUAGACGGGUCUACUCGAAGGAGUCUCCUCUCAGAGAGGUGGGCGAAAGAGAGACCCCGGCUGGUGAAUACCAUGGUGGCACAACAAAAUGCGGAAACUGGGAUCUGCCAACAGUGUGGCAGCAGUCAAGCUGCUGUCCGUUGUCGUGACUGCCGACCUCACCCACUCUUAUGUGCUGAGUGUGAUGUCAGUUUACACAGAAACCAGGUGUUCCACAACAGGGAUGCAACAAUAGCUGGAUUCUUUCAGCCAUUGCCUCCAACAACCUGUGUCGUGGAGAGGGUUCUUUCCCAGUGUGGACGAUAUGAUCUCUCUAUGCCUGAGAUGAAAUGCGAGGCAUGCAAAGCCACUUGGAGUGCUGGAGUCGAUGACUUGGUCCGUAAUGACUACUGGCCUGCGACCCUUCACUUCUCCACGGUGUACUCUACCGAUGUGUUUCAUUCAUAUGAAGAGUUGAAGAUGGCAGCACCAGGACUUUCCUGUCAAGCCUUUUUGAGAAUGCUUGAUCAACGAACUGUCAACUUCGGCCGUACUGGGAAGAUCACAGCAGACAGCUUCAGAAAAAGGUUUUUGGAGUGGGAGGCUGUUAGAUUUGAGGUCGACAAGAUAUGCAGAGAGGAGCCAUUUGUCUGUCCUGCAUGCACCCCAGACAUGCUUGCCGUUUCAGUGGACGGAAAUCGCAAGCACUACCGCUUUAAGAAUGCAGCAAGAUCUGAGGAGCAAGCCUUAUUUGAUGGCAUCUUCAUUGCUAAAGAUGAUGAAGUAGAGAGAUUUGUGGAUUACAUUCAUUCUGCCACCAACCAUAUAAACUUCUAUAAUAUUUCUAAAAACACCACCAAUAACAUCCUAACGUUGAUAUUGUUUGGGUGAGUCCUGACCAUUUAUAUCAACAGUUUUCCAUGUUGUAGGUCUCUGGAAGAGGUGUCUGUGGAGGGGAGUAGUCAGCAGCCAGAGAAACAUCUCAGAGAUCCAGGAGUAAAAUUGAUGAGGAGGGACUUCAGCUUGCGGUGUGUUGACAUGUCGUUUUUCUCAGCGCUCUCAACAUGUUCAGGGGAGAAAUCUACGCUUAUCCCCUCUACCUGCAGAACAAGCUGGCAAAUAAGCCAAUAACCUUUUUUGCCAUGGAUGUUACAUGCAAGUACUGGCCCUACCUCAACAAAGUGGCAAAAAGCUGCCCGGAGCUCCAGCACCUUCUUGACAUGAAGCCAUUCCUGUCAGUGUUUCAUGCUAAAGCCCAUGACUUUAAAUGCGAGGUUAAAUGGAGUGGAGCUUACCAGCAAGGGGCUGGAUUGACACUUGGGGAGGAGGUUGAGCAGUGCAACGCCUUCCUCUCUAGGAUUGCUGUGACGACAAAACAUAUGUCCAAAGCAGGUCGUACAGACAUGCUUACACUGAUGGCCAUGCGCUGGAAUCAGCAAAAUUUAAUAACUUGGCUACUUCACUUGCCCGCCGAUAUCAGAAGGCCACAAAAGGGCUGGAAAGCCGGCUUCAGGACCUGGAGGUCAUGAGAGUCCAACUGGCAGUGACACAGGUUGAAGUUGAGGGCUGGGUUACUGAUGUAAAAGAGUGGGCAGAAGCAACAACAUCCCAAAAGAAUGCAGAUCUGGACGCGGUGACUAGUAGAUUGGAGGUGCUGGUGGCCAGCAUUAAAAGAAGGUCCCAGCGCCUUUACAAAGACACCGAUGGCAGCAAAGGUCGGGCCCGGAUUCGGCGCAAAAUCAGAGAGGAGAUGGCCAUUCUUGGCUCUGUUGCUGACAAAUACAACAGCAUGGUUCCAGAUGCAGAGAGAAUCAACUUUGACAGCAUUCUCUCUGAGGGGACAGUUUGGCCGUGGCAACUUUCCCAUGGUGACAAAUGUAGAUUUGAAAACCAAGAGGAAGGCGUUUGACGUUGUGAUGGCAAUAAGGAGACUUGAGGAGGAGAGGAAGAUUGUCAUUGCCGAGAUGGCAAAGCAUUGGAAAUCUCUCUCCACUCGUGCAGACACGCUCAAGGAGAUGUCAUGCCGGUUUUCCAGUGAGCCAUUGCAAAGUGAGCUGUGGGGUCUAAAUGAAGAAGGGAUCAAGGGUCUCCGCAGCUUAACCUUGAAAAAGAAGCAAGCAGUCACAACAAUGAUGAAGCAUGCGAGAGACUGUUACGCUCAAGUUUUGAGAGGAACCAGUAUGGACUUCCAGAGGGACUGGGAUGGAUACGACAGUGACUCUGAAAUGUCAGACGAGUGAACUUGGCUUUCAUCGCUCCUGAUAUCCUGACGCGACUAGAAAAAUUGAUGAACUGCUCAACUUUGCUUCUCGCAUACUUCAUUUUCUUUUUUUAAUUAAAAAAAUUGGAAAUACUGUCUAGGUGGCAUCCACACACAACGUGUACUGUAAACAUGGGGGUUGUCAAUGUCAUCAAUAUUCAGUCUUUAAUCAUCCAGUAUCCAAUAUGAUUGCAGACCUUUUUGUAUCAUGAAUGACACCUUUUAAUGUAUUUAACCAACCCACUGUUUCUCUUCUACAUGUAUGCAAUAUACGAUGAUGUAUCAUGGCUGAAGAGCAAGUAUAAUAUACUUUGGAAGUGAACCAAGCUGCACUGAUUCAUUGCUAUUUGUACUGUUUUUAUUGAUGCUAUUAUGAACUUACACUCCAUAAACAAACUGAAAGCUGCCACACAGACCGACAUCAUUUUUAUCCCUGUCAUGUAUAAGCAUAUCUUUAUGAGUACAUAAUGUUCCCAUGUAUUAUAUCAUGUGCUGAAAUGAAAUAAACAUUGAUAAACAAAA
ensembl:lncRNA